CUUUGACUUCGAGGGUAACCGGGGCGUGGUCUGACCACGUGAUGUGGUCAAUAUCGCACUUAACCAGUUGGUUUAGGUCUGAUCCUCUCAUGAGAAAGGUAUCCAGUCUAGAGUAGGAGUUAUGGAUGGGCGAGAAAAACGUGUAGGACCUUUCCAUUCCGUGGGAGAUUCUCCACGCAUCAUAGUAGUGGUGCGCGGAGAGAAGUGUCUGCAGUGCUUUGCUUUGGCGUUUGAGGGGUCGGAAUCUGGCUCGGACAUGCGAGAAGGUGGUGUCCAGUGUCUGGUCUAGGACGUGG